AACUAACCUUAUUACUUGAUAGGCAUUUUAAAAUCAUGCAACAAUGCAAGUGGCACUAUGUCAUUUCAACAGAUAUGCUCUAACUGUAUUGUCAACUUCCUCCUAAAACUUUUAGUAAGAAUGGUUGUUCUUAGGUGCUUCUUUGCCAUUUGCUUUCCCUGAAUUCUUAUCCACAUACUAAAUUUACAAAGUCUAAAGUGGCAGACAUGCUAUCUUUAUUUAUUUGGAUGUGUAUAUCUGAGUUUUUGCGAGUGCUCAAUGGCACAUGCAUUUUAGUUGCAUGACCUUUUUUUCUUGUGUGUUGGAAAGAG
rnacentral:misc_RNA from 1 species